UAGUAACGGCGAGUGAAGCGGCAACAGCUCAAAUUUGAAAUCUGGCUCUCGGGCCCGAGUUGUAAUUUGUAGAGGAUACUUUUGAUGCGGUGCCUUCCGAGUUCCCUGGAACGGGACGCCAUAGAGGGUGAGAGCCCCGUCUGGUUGGAUGCCAAAUCUCUGUAAAGUUCCUUCAACGAGUCGAGUAGUUUGGGAAUGCUGCUCUAAAUGGGAGGUAUAUGUCUUCUAAAGCUAAAUACCGGCCAGAGACCGAUAGCGCACAAGUAGAGUGAUCGAAAGAUGAAAAGCACUUUGAAAAGAGAGUUAAAAAGUACGUGAAAUUGUUGAAAGGGAAGCGUUUAUGACCAGACUUGGGCUUGGUUAAUCAUCUGGGGUUCUCCCCAGUGCACUUUUCCAGUCCAGGCCAGCAUCAGUUUUCCCCGGGGGAUAAAGGCGGCGGGAAUGUGGCUCUCUUCGGGGAGUGUUAUAGCCCACCGUGUAAUACCCUGGGGGGGACUGAGGUUCGCGCAUCUGCAAGGAUGCUGGCGUAAUGGUCAUCAACGACCCGUCUUGAAACACGGACCAAGGAGUCGUCUUCGUAUGCGAGUGUUCGGGUGUCAAACCCCUACGCGUAAUGAAAGUGAACGCAGGUGAGAGCUUCGGCGCAUCAUCGACCGAUCCUGAUGUUCUCGGAUGG
rnacentral:rRNA from 1 species